AACGAACGCUGGCGGCAUGCCUAACACAUGCCAGUCGAACGAGACCUUCGGGUCUAGUGGCGCACGGGUGCGUAACGCGUGGGAACCUGCCCUUAGGUUCGGAAUAACUCCCCGAAAGGGGUGCUAAUACCGGAUAAUGUCUUCGGACCAAAGAGUUAUCGCCUUUGGAUGGGCCCGCGUUGGAUUAGCUAGUUGGUAGGGUAAAAGCCUACCAAGGCGACGAUCCAUAGCUGGUCUGAGAGGAUGAUCAGCCACACUGGGACUGAGACACGGCCCAGACUGCUACGGGAGGCAGCAGUGGGGAAUAUUGGACAAUGGGCGAAAGCCUGAUCCAGCAAUGCCGCGUGAGUGAUGAAGGCCUUAGGGUUGUAAAGCUCUUUUACCCGGGAUGAUAAUGACAGUACCGGGAGAAUAAGCUCCGGCUAACUCCGUG
rnacentral:rRNA from 1 species